UUCAGAGUUAAAAGCAAACCCUGGCUAACAGCCAGAAAGAAAACAAGGACUUAAGUUCAACAGCCACAAGAAGCUGACCAAAAUCAAUAUACUUGGAAGACCUCGAACUGUAAAUGAGUAUGCAGCCUGGCUGAUGCCUUGAUUUUAGCCUGUUAGAGUCUGUGAAGAGAUGUGCCUAGACUUCUUUUGACUGACAACUGUUGUUUAAGCACCCAAGUUUGAGAUAAUUUAUUUCACAGCAGUAGAAGUAAAAUACAGAUGUAGACUAUUCAUAUCAUCUAGAAUAAUCCCUGAAAGCAUGGGUGAGUGAUCAAGAGUGAUAAAAUCAUAUAAAUGUAUAAGGAUGUCUUUACAAGAGGAGCUGUGUUAUAGAUGGAUUCACUGUAAUAAAUAACCAACCAAACAAUAUAAUCUUCAGGAAUCAACUACUAUAUCAUGAAAUCAGGCCAAAUUGAAGAUUCAAGUUCAACGAUAACAACAACUAUAUAUAUAUAUGUAAAGUUUCUGUUGUGGCAUAGCAGAAACGAAUCUGACUAGUGUCCAUGAGGAUUGGGAUUUUGACCCCUGUCCUCACUCAGUGGGUUGGGGAUCUGGUGUUGCUGUGAGCUGUGGUGCAUGUCGCAGAUCCGGCUUGGAUCCCUCAUUGCUGUGGCUGUGGCAUAGGCUGUGAGCUGUAGAUCUGAUUUGGCCCCUAGCCCAGGAACUUCCAUAUGCUGCAGGUGUGGCCUUAAUAAAAAAACUAAAAUGAUAAUAAUAAUAAUAAUAAUAUACACACAUAUGUAUAUUAGAAAACCACUAGAUAGAUAUUUUAUUUAGAAUUCUUUAUAUAUGUUGAUAUGUAUGAAAACAGUAAAUGCUUGGAGAAAAAAACAGAUGAUACUUAAAGGGAUGAUACAUGAAUUAGAAACCAAAGAGUUGGUUUCUGCAUUAUUAAGUAAUAUCUAGAGUUUCUAGGGGUUUUAACUGGGAAAAAAAUUCUACCUAUGCUAGAAAAAGUAAUGACCUAUUCUCCUCAUAUAUCCUUUCUCUUACUUUGUUUUUAUCUGUAAUUAAAACUCCAUUCUCUCCACCAAAUAUGGAGAGGAACAAGAUAAACUUCCUCUAAUUCAACUAGCAUAACUGGGAGAGUUUGCAUAAUUUUAGAAUAUAGUCACAAUUGGAACAAAUUAAUAACAGCUAGUAGUUUUAUCUAUUUUGUUUAUUGAUGCAUUUGCAGUCUCUAGAAUAGUGUCUUAAAAGUAAGAAGAUAAAAUAAAUAUGUGUUUAAAGAUUUAAUGGAUAAAUGAAAAGGAAAAUUGGACUCUACAGUAAAGAGUUUUAAAAAUUCAGAUAUGUUACUUUACCAUAUCUAUCUGUUUUCUGGCUUGUAACAUCUGUUUCUUCCAUAUGUUGUCCAGGACAUCUUCAGCCAAUUCCCCAGUGUGCUAGCCUAACCAUGCAAAUACAUGUUAUAUAUGUAUACUUCUUAUAUCUUGUCCUUUCCCUUGAUGUAAAUUGCCAUUUUAACUGCUAGCCUAUAUUAUAUAUCUUCUAGACAGCUUUGACACUUUUGGUCAAGAACAAAGGAGAGUGAUUUUCUGUGCCCAUCAUAUCUAGAUUUUCCACCCAGGUAACAGUUUUUGGUCCCAAGAGUAUAACUUCUCUGGUGAAUUAUAAAUAAAAAUACCAAUAUUUUAUAUUUUUUACUUUUUUUAGAUUCAAUAGUAAAACAAUAUCUUUAUGCAGUAUAAAAUUAUAGCAUUCAUGUAGCUGAAUAGCAGGUAUAUAGUCAAAAUUAGUCAUUGAGAAAAAUAAAUGUAAGUCAAUGGAAGAUAUCUUUAUUUCCAGAAAGAAACUCAGGAAAUAUUCCCUCUAACAGGAAAUAUAGAAUCUCUCCUUAUGAUGCCUCAAUUAAACAGAAAUUUCAAAAAAAUUCCUAAUUUAAUAAGAUAUUUAAAGAUAACCUCCAACGGCCACACAUUGUUUCACUACUAAGAAUAGGGAUAUUUUUAGCACCUACAAAAGAAUGACUCUGAAGAUAAAAUUCAACAACAAUAAGAUCUUUUUUAAAUAUAAAAAUCAUUAAAAAACAUGUUACUGAUAUUUAAUAACCUUUGUAUGAUAGAUCUGAAUCAACAAAUUCUGUCAGUAACAGCAAACAAACCAGACUGAAUCCUUGCAGUGGUAAUUUCAGCACUAAGCAAUCAUGCACAUGACUCAUAAAUCAUUUGCAAAAGCAACUGCAUGCAGAAACACAAAAAACAAGACAAGAAAUCCCAAACAUAAACCAACCAUUCUGUCUAUAUCUCUCCCCACCUGCUGUUCCCAUAAAUAUGCAUGGGAGUACAUGCCUCAGGAAAUACAACAAGAGCAUUAAGUACUCUAAUGAACCCAGCAAGCUAUCACUUCUACUCACUCUUAGCAGAGUUUCCGUUUUAGAAAUAACUUGAGCAUUUCAUGUGAACUUGGAAAAUUAAACUUAGUAGGAAUUCCAUUAAAUGUAUACACAUUACACAUCUUAUUUUUUCCAAGAAAGAGAAUUAUGUUUUUAAUAUGAUUUGAUAACAUUUAAAUUAAGAAUUGAGAAGUAUCAUGAUAACUAAUAUUUUUAAUAUAGCAGCUCUAUUUAGAAUAUGGACUUUUUCCUACAUGAGAAUUUCAAAAAUCUUUGGCGCUCUUUUUUAUCAUUCUGUUUUAAUCCCUGUAAUUAAUAAUGGCUUCAUAUUACACAUAUACUACUUGGAACACAGUAGUUUUCUAUAGCCUUGGGUAGUUCAGAUGUAAAUAAUGUGUCUUUUCUUCCCUCACUUGUGUCCUGUAACCAUAUGACAGUACAUUGGUAAUGAAAAUCUAUUAUCAAGUGAAAAACAUAGUUAUUGACUGGAGGGUGAAGCAAAGGUGUAAUGCAGAACAUCACUCUAGCAAUCAGAAAAAUUUUAAUUUUUGCUUACUCGGUUGGGAUGCUUCAAAAUAAUUUCGUGGAUCUAAAUAUCCAGGACUACAGUCUGACAGACAUGAUUUUUGCCUUUUCAUUCAAUAUUCAUUUUAUGAGAAACAUGGAGAACCAUCUGGAUAAUCAGAAUUUAUUUUCACCAGGUAAAAAGGUCAUGAGAAAUAAAAUGAUAUUCUAAGUCUAGAAUCAUUUCCCUAUUCUAUGGAAGAUUUAUGUCUCUACUGUAUUUUAUUGACACAACAUAUUUUCUAAGAUAAAUUUCUGAUAUAUAAUGCUAUAUUUAUAGCUUGAUUUGUACUGUUAAUAAUAUAUGCUUUCGGUAAACAGUAUUUUAGCAUUAGUGAUGAAGUACCUAACUAACUUUGAUUUUUCCUAUGUAACAGUAACUAUACAAGUGCUUAGGCCCUAUUUAUAAAUAUAAAAAAAUCAAAUCACACCAAUCAUAUUUCUAGGGUCAGUCAAGCAAAGCCAUUCUGAAUUGUCAUUUAAAUUGGAGUCCAGCCUGUUUGGGUACUUGAGCCUUAAUAUUCGUGACUUAUGUCUAAUGUAUAGCUCUCUAAAACUCAACUAAGAAAAAGUUUGUUAUUGUAGUGAAUACCAAUAUGAAACCAUUUAUUUUGUGAUAUUUUGUACAAAUUGGCUAUGAAGACAAAGAAAGAAGUUGAAUAGGAAAACUCUAAGAAGAACAAGUAAUCAUGAUAUUGCCAAAGCUGUGGGGAAGGAGGAUAUGAACAUGGCAAGCAGGAGCAAAGGGUAGGUUUUACGUACACAUUCAAAUGCGUGAUGACUUAUUUGGGAGGUAGUGGCAUUAUGUGAUCAGAGGAGAUUUCGUGAUAGAACUUUGGAUUUUGUGAAACAACAGUUGUUUUGAAUACAAAUGGUCCUUUUGAAUUAAACCAUCAGUUCAAUAUGUUUUGAUAGUUAUAACAUUUAUUUUUAAUUAAAAAUUUUAAUUAAUGUAUUAAUUUUUAUUUUCGAAUUCAUUUUGUGAAUUACGUCAGCAUUAGGAAAAAUACUCAGUGGGUAGCCUCUCUGCAAACUCAGUCACACACUCCCAUCUCUCCUUAUAGAGAAAACAAAUUAUAUAUACUUAUUUCUGUACUUCCUGGCAGAUCUGAUAAAAAGUGAGAAUGGUAGCAUAACUGAGAAUACAUUUUUGGAAAUUUAUAAAUGUGAUGGGAAUCAGCUUCACAGAAACACAACCAGAAUUAUUGACUCUGUGUGUUAUCUAUCUCUACCCUUAUCUCUAUUUGUCUAAUCUAUCUACCUCUCUAUCAAUCUGGGAAUCUAUCUACCUACCUACCAAAAGACAGAAAUAUAUGUAAUUCAUGAACUAUCUGCCCUUGAAUUAACCUAAACAAGCACUAGUAAGUGAACAUAGUUUGAAUGAGAAUUGCAUCUUUAGAGAUAUUCCACAUCUGAAUGAAAAUAUCCACAUGAGUAUCUGUCAAAGGAACUGUUUUAUCUUUUUCUUCUGUAUAGCACUCUCCUCACCCACAUGUAUUUUUUGCCUUUGUCACUUGGCUAUAAGUGACUCAGAAGGGAAAGCACUAGCCAUUUAUCCUUGAUUUUCAAAGUCAAGUACAGUGAUUGGCACAGGUAGAUAUAUUGAAUUUUUUUAAUUAAACCAAAUUUCCAGAGAUAAAUACGUUACAGUUAGAUGAAAUAAUGGGGAACAAUGAACAAAAAAUUGCCCAUGCUGAAAAUUUUCAACUCAUUAAUCCAAAUUUAAUCAU
rnacentral:lncRNA from 1 species